rnacentral:rRNA from 1 species
GUGCCAGCAGCCGCGGUAAUACGUAGGGGGCGAGCGUUGUCCGGAAUUAUUGGGCGUAAAGCGCGAGGGGUCUCUUAAGUCUGAUGUGAAAGCCCACGGCUCAACCGUGGAGGGUCAUUGGAAACUGGGGGACUUGAGGGCAGGAGAGGAGAGCGGAAUUCCACGUGUAGCGGUGAAAUGCGUAGAGAUGUGGAGGAACACCAGUGGCGAAGGCGGCUCUCUGGCCUGCACCUGACGCUGAGGCGCGAAAGYGUGGGGAGCAAACAGGAUUAGAUACCCUGGUAGUCCACGCCGUAAACGAUGAGUGCUAAGUGUUAGAGGGGUCACACCCUUUAGUGCUGUCACUAACGCGAUAAGCACUCCGCCUGGGGAGUACGGCCGCAAGUUGAAACUCAAAGGAAUUGACGG